GGUUAAGCGACUAAGCGUACACGGUGGAUGCCCUGGCAGUCAGAGGCGAUGAAGGACGUGCUAAUCUGCGAUAAGCGUCGGUAAGGUGAUAUGAACCGUUAUAACCGGCGAUUUCCGAAUGGGGAAACCCAGUGUGUUUCGACACACUAUCAUUAACUGAAUCCAUAGGUUAAUGAGGCGAACCGGGGGAACUGAAACAUCUAAGUACCCCGAGGAAAAGAAAUCAACCGAGAUUCCCCCAGUAGCGGCGAGCGAACGGGGAGCAGCCCAGAGCCUGAAUCAGUGUGUGUGUUAGUGGAAGCGUCUGGAAAGGCGUGCGAUACAGGGUGACAGCCCCGUACACAAAAAUGCACAUGCUGUGAGCUCGAUGAGUAGGGCGGGACACGUGGUAUCCUGUCUGAAUAUGGGGGGACCAUCCUCCAAGGCUAAAUACUCCUGACUGACCGAUAGUGAACCAGUACCGUGAGGGAAAGGCGAAAAGAACCCCGGCGAGGGGAGUGAAAAAGAACCUGAAACCGUGUACGUACAAGCAGUGGGAGCACGCUUAGGCGUGUGACUGCGUACCUUUUGUAUAAUGGGUCAGCGACUUAUAUUCUGUAGCAAGGUUAACCGAAUAGGGGAGCCGAAGGGAAACCGAGUCUUAACUGGGCGUUAAGUUGCAGGGUAUAGACCCGAAACCCGGUGAUCUAGCCAUGGGCAGGUUGAAGGUUGGGUAACACUAACUGGAGGACCGAACCGACUAAUGUUGAAAAAUUAGCGGAUGACUUGUGGCUGGGGGUGAAAGGCCAAUCAAACCGGGAGAUAGCUGGUUCUCCCCGAAAGCUAUUUAGGUAGCGCCUCGUGAAUUCAUCUCCGGGGGUAGAGCACUGUUUCGGCAAGGGGGUCAUCCCGACUUACCAACCCGAUGCAAACUGCGAAUACCGGAGAAUGUUAUCACGGGAGACACACGGCGGGUGCUAACGUCCGUCGUGAAGAGGGAAACAACCCAGACCGCCAGCUAAGGUCCCAAAGUCAUGGUUAAGUGGGAAACGAUGUGGGAAGGCCCAGACAGCCAGGAUGUUGGCUUAGAAGCAGCCAUCAUUUAAAGAAAGCGUAAUAGCUCACUGGUCGAGUCGGCCUGCGCGGAAGAUGUAACGGGGCUAAACCAUGCACCGAAGCUGCGGCAGCGACACUGUGUGUUGUUGGGUAGGGGAGCGUUCUGUAAGCCUGUGAAGGUGUACUGUGAGGUAUGCUGGAGGUAUCAGAAGUGCGAAUGCUGACAUAAGUAACGAUAAAGCGGGUGAAAAGCCCGCUCGCCGGAAGACCAAGGGUUCCUGUCCAACGUUAAUCGGGGCAGGGUGAGUCGACCCCUAAGGCGAGGCCGAAAGGCGUAGUCGAUGGGAAACAGGUUAAUAUUCCUGUACUUGGUGUUACUGCGAAGGGGGGACGGAGAAGGCUAUGUUGGCCGGGCGACGGUUGUCCCGGUUUAAGCGUGUAGGCUGGUUUUCCAGGCAAAUCCGGAAAAUCAAGGCUGAGGCGUGAUGACGAGGCACUACGGUGCUGAAGCAACAAAUGCCCUGCUUCCAGGAAAAGCCUCUAAGCAUCAGGUAACAUCAAAUCGUACCCCAAACCGACACAGGUGGUCAGGUAGAGAAUACCAAGGCGCUUGAGAGAACUCGGGUGAAGGAACUAGGCAAAAUGGUGCCGUAACUUCGGGAGAAGGCACGCUGAUAUGUAGGUGAAGCGACUUGCUCGUGGAGCUGAAAUCAGUCGAAGAUACCAGCUGGCUGCAACUGUUUAUUAAAAACACAGCACUGUGCAAACACGAAAGUGGACGUAUACGGUGUGACGCCUGCCCGGUGCCGGAAGGUUAAUUGAUGGGGUUAGCGGUAACGCGAAGCUCUUGAUCGAAGCCCCGGUAAACGGCGGCCGUAACUAUAACGGUCCUAAGGUAGCGAAAUUCCUUGUCGGGUAAGUUCCGACCUGCACGAAUGGCGUAAUGAUGGCCAGGCUGUCUCCACCCGAGACUCAGUGAAAUUGAACUCGCUGUGAAGAUGCAGUGUACCCGCGGCAAGACGGAAAGACCCCGUGAACCUUUACUAUAGCUUGACACUGAACAUUGAGCCUUGAUGUGUAGGAUAGGUGGGAGGCUUUGAAGUGUGGACGCCAGUCUGCAUGGAGCCGACCUUGAAAUACCACCCUUUAAUGUUUGAUGUUCUAACGUUGACCCGUAAUCCGGGUUGCGGACAGUGUCUGGUGGGUAGUUUGACUGGGGCGGUCUCCUCCUAAAGAGUAACGGAGGAGCACGAAGGUUGGCUAAUCCUGGUCGGACAUCAGGAGGUUAGUGCAAUGGCAUAAGCCAGCUUGACUGCGAGCGUGACGGCGCGAGCAGGUGCGAAAGCAGGUCAUAGUGAUCCGGUGGUUCUGAAUGGAAGGGCCAUCGCUCAACGGAUAAAAGGUACUCCGGGGAUAACAGGCUGAUACCGCCCAAGAGUUCAUAUCGACGGCGGUGUUUGGCACCUCGAUGUCGGCUCAUCACAUCCUGGGGCUGAAGUAGGUCCCAAGGGUAUGGCUGUUCGCCAUUUAAAGUGGUACGCGAGCUGGGUUUAGAACGUCGUGAGACAGUUCGGUCCCUAUCUGCCGUGGGCGCUGGAGAACUGAGGGGGGCUGCUCCUAGUACGAGAGGACCGGAGUGGACGCAUCACUGGUGUUCGGGUUGUCAUGCCAAUGGCACUGCCCGGUAGCUAAAUGCGGAAGAGAUAAGUGCUGAAAGCAUCUAAGCACGAAACUUGCCCCGAGAUGAGUUCUCCCUGACUCCUUGAGAGUCCUGAAGGAACGUUGAAGACGACGACGUUGAUAGGCCGGGUGUGUAAGCGCAGCGAUGCGUUGAGCUAACCGGUACUAAUGAACCGUGAGGCUUAACCUU
rnacentral:rRNA from 1 species